UGUUAUUUUGUUUUAUUAAAUUUUCUAAAUAAAAUUAUUUUAGUUUCUUCAAUAUAGUUUUUUAGUUUCUCCAAUAUAGCCUUUAGUUUCCCCUAUAUAGGCUUGAGCUCUCAGGGGAUUUUCACAUGUCCAGAGGAUCCAAGUGAAAAAUGUAUCUCACUUCCUUGCUCUGAAGUCAAGAGACUUAUUUACUUCCUACACUCUGUGUGUAAAACCUUUCUUCCUACGCAUCCUCCAGUCUUUCCAUCUUGGUGAUGGUUUUAUUUUGCCCUGAUCAGAUUUAGAUUACAAACCCCUGCUAGGAUACAUCACUGAUUUAGUACCCAUUCAGGAAAAUAUUCUGGAGUCCUAUGCUAUGUAAGCACCUAGGAGGUGACACAUCAAUGCCUAUUGGUGGUUUUUAAGAUAAAUAUACCACUCUCACACAAAGAGCACCAAUGCAUUCUCACACUCGGAUGGGCAUCUUCACCGCAACCACUCUUCUGUUUAGGAGAGGCAUCAUACAUUUAUGAAGAUCAUCACAUAUUUAUACAUCUUUUACCUUGCUUAUAUGGAUAAGGUAAGUUUUCCUACGUCCCACAUUGGGGAAAAGAAAGAAAUCUCAUUACAUAAAGUAAAGAAGUCAUAUUAUAUGAAAAAUUUAACAUGCCAUCAGAAAUGAGAUAUUGAUAGGCUUUUAGGUGCCAUCUUGUCUGCAAUUCUUCUUAGGUUCAACAUUGAUUUCUAUAGCCUUUUCUAGUAGACAAUGAAUUUUAAAUUGUGCCAAUAGUAGUUGGCAAAGUUUUAUCGAGUGAUUGGAUGCUUUCAUAUUUUUUACUUGAACUCCCACCAUGCUUUUCUCAAAGUUAUAUUUUUGUUCCCUAGUUAUAAAACCAAAAGAUCUAGUCGUCAAAAUUUUUGUUUUAGUUGUUGUUGUUUUGGGGAUGUUGUAUCAUUUUCAUAAUCUUGGCAUUUCCCCUCUAUUGAGGAUAUGGUAGGAGAGCUCCGUAACCUUGUAAAAGUUAAGGAAAUUGCAAUUAAAUAAUCCUUUAUGGCAUAUUUCAGGCUGUCCCAUGUUCCUCAGAGAAUCCAGGUCUAAGAUAAGGGUUUGAUUUCAAAAUUAUUAAUGUUCCCUAGCAUCAUAAAACAUUAAAACUAGAAGUGAUCAGAAAGAUCAUCUUAUCCCUAUUACCUUGUUUUAUCUGAAAGAAAACAGUUUCAAAAUGACAGAGUCUAGCCCAAAGUCACAAUGUCUGUUAGCAACUGAAGAUGGACAGAAACCUAGACCUCCUGAUCUCACAUAACCUUCUGCAGCUAAUUGGCUAUGGAAUCUUUCAUAUGUCAUAGUAGCUAUGGUGCAACAAUACAUCAUCUACCUUGAUUAAUGACUGUGAUGAAAGGCUUGCUUAACACAAUGGAAAUAAAUGCAGCAAGCAGAUGUAUUAAAUUUUAAAAGCUGUAAUGUUUAUCUGUGGUCUAUAAAGUGCAACCAUGGUCUUUUUAAUCUGCUUAUGUUAGUUACCUGGUCAGUUUGGUUUGGCCAUGAAGGAAGAAAAAAAAAAUAACUCAAAGAUGAAUAAUUAUGUUGGAAAAGCAUAUAGUUACAAAGAAAAAAGUCACCUAUAUGUCAGAGAAAAAUGUGUCUAUGUUGUAGGCAGUAUAUAAAAUGGAUGUGGAUGAGAUAACUAAGGGAUUGUGUAUAGAGAAAACUGAGAAUUGAGAUUACACCUGGACAAUUUAUGAUUCAACGUUUUGUGGUUGGGAAAAGAAGAAAAAGCUAGCAAAAGAGAAUCAGAAGUAGGAAGAGGAAAACUAGGAGGGUGUGAUAUUUCAAUGCAAUACUAUACUUCGGGGGCUUUUCUUGCUGUACAUAAUAAAAAUGGAUACCUCUCUCUCUC